rnacentral:rRNA from 1 species
GACCCGGCCGAAGUCGAUUUAGAGGUGUGGUCUUGACCGUGGCUUCUGGAGCUAACGCGUUAAAUCGACCGCCUGGGGAGUACGGCCGCAAGGUUAAAACUCAAAUGAAUUGACGGGGGCCCGCACAAGCGGUGGAGCAUGUGGUUUAAUUCGAUGCAACGCGAAGAACCUUACCUACUCUUGACAUCCAGCGAAUCCUUUAGAGAUAGAGGAGUGCCUUCGGGAACGCUGAGACAGGUGCUGCAUGGCUGUCGUCAGCUCGUGUUGUGAAAUGUUGGGUUAAGUCCCGCAACGAGCGCAACCCUUAUCCUUUGUUGCCAGCACGUAAUGGUGGGAACUCAAAGGAGACUGCCGGUGAUAAACCGGAGGAAGGUGGGGAUGACGUCAAGUCAUCAUGGCCCUUACGAGUAGGGCUACACACGUGCUACAAUGGCAGAUACAAAGAGAAGCGACCUCGCGAGAGCAAGCGGAACUCAUAAAGUCUGUCGUAGUCCGGAUUGGAGUCUGCAACUCGACUCCAUGAAGUCGGAAUCGCUAGUAAUCGUAGAUCAGAAUGCUACGGUGAAUACGUUCCCGGGCCUUGUACACACCGCCCGUCACACCAUGGGAGUGGGUUGCAAAAGAAGUAGGUAGCUUAACCUUCGGGAGGGCGCUUACCACUUUGUGAUUCAUGACUGGGGUGAAGUCUAAGGGGGACCCCCCAAAAAAAAAGGGGGCCCCCCCGGGCUUUUCGGGUUUUGAAACCUUGGUUUUUGCGAGAGGGGGGGGGGGUUUCCGGGGGGGGGGGUGCCCCCGGAAAUUUAGGCGGGCUUGUUCGGGGGGUCCGGGGGGGGGGACUCGGCCGCCCCCUGGAAAGGGCCGGGGGGGCGGGGGGGGGGGGGGGGGGGGGUUCCGCGAGAUUUGAGGCGGGGGGGGGUUCUCCCAUGAGGAAGUGAAGGGGGGGGGGGGGGGGGGGGGCUUUUCGGGCGCCAAAAAUUUCGCGAAAAGCGGGGGGGGGCCCCCGCGGGGUAUACGGGGGGGGGGGGGGGGGGGGGGAAUUUAGGGGGGGGGGGUGUUGGGCGGGGGGGGGAGCGCGCCUUGUGGGGGGGGGGGGGGAAGACGCGCUCUCACCCCCCUCCCCGCCGCGCGCGAGGGAGGGGGAGUUUUUAAACCCCCGCGUGGGGGGGGGUGUUUUUUCUCACCCCGGCGGGGGGGGGGGGGGGGGCGCGAAGGGCGGGUGGGCGGGCCCGGUGGGGUGAAGAAAAUACUCCCCCCCGGGGUGGGGCCCCGCCCCCCGAGAGGAGGAAGGAGGGGGGGGGGGGCGUUGCCGCCCUCCCCCCCGCCGGGUGGGGGGUGGGGGGUGCCCUUCCUCCUCCGCCCGCAGACGGACCGAAAACGAAAGUUAGGGGGGGGUCGCCGGGGGGGGGGCGGGGAAAGGCAACGUAAGGCGCCCCCCCCCCCCGCCGCAAGCCCGAGCAAGGGCCUGGAACCGGUAAAGGAGGCGGGGCGGUUUUGCCCUUCGAAAAAUUAGAGAAGGGCGGUAGGGUUGGGGCCGGGCGGGAGAAGGAACGGGACGCGGUCCCUCUGGCCGAGGGGGCCGGUUUUGGCAGGGGUUCGGGUUUGGGGGACAGAGAAGG